GACGAACGCUGGCGGCGUGCUUAACACAUGCAAGUCGAACGAAGAGCGAUGGAAGCUUGCUUCUAUCAAUCUUAGUGGCGAACGGGUGAGUAACGCGUAAUCAACCUGCCCUUCAGAGGGGGACAACAGUUGGAAACGACUGCUAAUACCGCAUACGAUCUAAUCUCGGCAUCGAGGAUAGAUGAAAGGUGGCCUCUACAUGUAAGCUACCACUGAAGGAGGGGAUUGCGUCUGAUUAGCUAGUUGGAGGGGUAACGGCCCACCAAGGCGAUGAUCGGUAGCCGGUCUGAGAGGAUGAACGGCCACAUUGGGACUGAGACACGGCCCAGACUCCUACGGGAGGCAGCAGUGGGGAAUCUUCCGCAAUGGACGAAAGUCUGACGGAGCAACGCCGCGUGAGUGAUGACGGCCUUCGGGUUGUAAAGCUCUGUUAAUCGGGACGAAAGGCCUUCUUGCGAAUAGUGAGAAGGAUUGACGGUACCGGAAUAGAAAGCCACGGCUAACUACGUG
rnacentral:rRNA from 1 species